UUAAGUUAUGAAGGGCAUACGGUGGAUGCCUAGGCGUUUCGAGCCGAUGAAGGACGCGAUAAGCUGCGAAAAGUCACGGGGAGCCGCAAGUAGGCUUUGAGCCGUGAAUAUCCGAAUGGAGCAAUCCGUUGCGAGAAGUCGCAACACCAGCAAUGGAGGCAUACCUGGUGAACUGAAACAUCUAAGUAGCCAGAGGAAAAGUAAUCAAAAGAGAUUCCCCUAGUAGCGGCGAGCGAAAAGGGAAGAGCCCAAACCGGACGUCUUCGGACGUACGGGGUUGAGGACCGGCAGAAAGGAAAGAGUCUUUAGCGGAACAGUCUGGGAAGGCUGGGCGCAGAGGGUGAAACCCCCGUAGGCGAAAGAGACUUGACCGGGCCGGGAUCCAGAGUACCACGGGACACGAGGAACCCUGUGGGAAGCCGGGUGGACCACCAUCCAAGGCAAAAUACUACGAAACGACCGAUAGCGCAUAGUACCGUGAGGGAAAGGUGAAAAGGACCCCGGGAGGGGAGUGAAAAAGAACCUGAAACCGUAUGUCUACAAGCAGUCGAAGCACAAUAUUAGUGCGACGGCGUGCCUAUUGAAGAAUGAACCGGCGAGUUAAUUUAUGCAGCGAGGUUAAGCAGGAGAUGCGGAGCCGAAGCGAAAGCGAGUCUUAAGAGGGCGGAAGUUGCAUGGAUUAGACCCGAAACCACAGUGAUCUAUGCAUGGCCAGGUUGAAGCUCAGGUAAAAAUGAGUGGAGGACCGAACCCGUGAGUGUUGAAAAACUUUGGGAUGAGCUGUGCAUAGGGGUGAAAUGCCAAUCGAACGUGGAGAUAGCUGGUUCUCCCCGAAAUAGCUUUAGGGCUAGCCUCAGGCGACACAUAAAGACGGUAGAGCACUGAUCGGACGCGGGUCUGUAAUGGAUACCAACUCCAGUCAAACUGCGAAUGGCUUUAUGAGAAGAACCUGGGAGUCAGAAUGCGAGUGAUAAGACCCGUAUUCAAGAGGGAAACAGCCCAGAACGCCGACUAAGGUCCCGAAUGCUGUACUAAGUGGAAAAGGAUGUAGAACUUCCUAAACAACCAGGAUGUUGGCUCAGAAGCAGCCACCAUUUAAAGAGUGCGUAAUAGCUCACUGGUCGAGAGGCUCUGCGCCGAAAAUAUCCGGGGCUCAAGUACAGAACCGAAGUCGCGUCAUGCGCAAGCAUGGGUAGGGGAGCGUUCCAUAGGCGUUGAAGUCUGACCGGAAGGACAGGUGGAGCGUAUGGAAGUGAGAAUGCCGGUAUGAGUAGCGAAACGGUCAGUGAGAAUCUGACCCACCGAAAGCCUAAGGGAUCCUGAGCAACGCUCGUCGACUCAGGGUAAGUCGGGACCUAAGCCGAGGCAGCAAGCAUAGGCGAUGGACAACAGGCGAAAAUUCCUGUACUGCAUAAAGUUGAUUGAGGAUGGAGUGACGCAGCAAGGAGACUGAGCACGCGGCUGGAAGGGCGUGUCGAAGGCGGUAGGCUGUAAGGGAGGCAAAUCCCCCUUAUAAGGCCGAGAACCGACAGAUAGGGAAUCUCUACGGAGAUGAACGAAUUCAGUUGUACUACACUGCCGAGAAAAGCUUCUAACGAGACGAUAUGUACCCGUACCAAAACCGACACAGGUAGGCGGGGAGAGAAUCCUAAGGUGCGCGGGAAAACCCUCGUUAAGGAACUCGGCAAAAUGCAUCCGUAACUUCGGGAGAAGGAUGGCCGGAGCUGGUGAGACCCGUACGGGAGGAGCUGGAGCCGGCGGCAGAAGAGAAGCCCAAGCGACUGUUUACCACAAACACAGGUGCCUGCUAAAGAGAAAUCUGACGUAUAGGUGCUGACACCUGCCCGGUGCUGGAAGGUUAAGGAGAAGGGUAAUGCGCAAGCAGAAGCUCAGAACUGAAGCCCCAGUAAACGGCGGCCGUAACUAUAACGGUCCUAAGGUAGCGAAAUUCCUUGUCGGGUAAGUUCCGACCCGCACGAAAGGUGUAACGACUUGGGCACUGUCUCAACGAGGGACCCGGUGAAAUUGAAAUACCUGUGAAGAUGCAGGUUACCCGCGACUGGACAGAAAGACCCCAUGGAGCUUUACUGCAGCCUGUCAUUGAUUUUUGGCAUGUAACGUACAGGAUAGUUGGGAGACGGAGAGAGCUGGUCGCCAGACUAGCUGGAGUCGAUGUUGGGAUACCAACCUUUGCGUGUUAGGAAUCUAACCCUGGGAAUAACGAAACCGGGGACAGUGGCAGGCGGACAGUUUGACUGGGGCGGUCGCCUCCGAAAGAGUAACGGAGGCGUCCAAAGGUUCCCUCAGCGCGGACAGAAAUCGCGCGAAGAGUAUAAAGGCAGAAGGGAGCUUGACUGCGAGACGAACAGGUCGAGCAGGUACGAAAGUAGGGCUUAGUGAUCCGGUGGAAUGAGAGUGGAAUUGCCAUCGCUCAACGGAUAAAAGCUACCCUGGGGAUAACAGGCUAAUCUCUCCCAAGAGUCCAUAUCGACGGGGAGGUUUGGCACCUCGAUGUCGGCUCAUCACAUCCUGGGGCUGAAGCAGGUCCCAAGGGUUGGGCUGUUCGCCCAUUAAAGUGGUACGUGAGCUGGGUUCAGAACGUCGUGAGACAGUUCGGUCCAUAUCCAUCGCGGGCGAAAGAUACAUGAGGGAAGCUGCUCCUAGUACGAGAGGACCGGAGUGGACGGACCGCCGGUGUACCGGUUGUUGCGCCAGCAGCAUAGCCGGGUAGCUGCGUCCGGAAGGGAUAAACGCUGAAAGCAUCUAAGCGUGAAGCCUGUCCCGAGAUGAAGUAUCUCAUAGCAUAAGCUAGUAAGACACCUUGAAGAAUACGAGGUAGAUAGGGUAGGAGUGGAAGUUCAGCAAUGAAUGAAGCGGACUACUACUAAUAAGUCGAGGACUUAA
rnacentral:rRNA from 1 species